ACGGCAUUGUGGGGCGACAGCCGGAGGGGCUGCACUGCACCGAGCUUGCACAGGGCGAGGCGGGGGCAGGACCUGGGACCCAGCCACCCCGGAGGAAACCGGAGAGGAAGCCAGCUUGGUCUUGCUCUCUGCCUCGUCCCAAUCCCCGGCUCUUACCAAAUGCAGCAGUGAAAAGGAGGCUGCCAACCCCAAGCAGAGAGGAUUCGGGAGAUCCAUGUAUGGUACUCUGUCCUGGUCAUGACCCUGCGAGGGACAUAACUGCCUUGUCACCUGGACAAUUGAGAGAAGAAUAUCACAUGCCAUGUUUCACUCAGGAAGCACUCAGUGCCUGUGGGGGAUGGGAAGUGAAGAAUGUCUGGGGACGCUGUCCCAACUGAUCCUUUUUCACUGGCUUUUAAUGGGGGUUUCUAGAAAGAGAAGCACUUAUUCAUUGAUAAAAAUAAAACAUAAUUAGACACAGCCUCCUCUGCCCCUCACGUGAUGGAGUUUUCAGCAAUAUCAAGAAGAACCACCAUACUGAUAAUGCAAAUCUUGAUUCCCUCUGCUCCAUUACACUCCCUUUUAGUCUCACUUUUGGUCCAUAGCAAUUUAGCAAGCUAAGGAGUCUGGAAGUAGUAAGGUCAGCCAACUGUUUCACCAGGGUGAUGCCAGAUAAUACCAGACAGUGUGAUCAAUGGAUAAAGGGAAUGUGAAUAUAAAGAAGAAAAAAGCCCCUUGGCAACCAGAAUGAGUUGGGCUAGAAAUUGAACUCAGCAACUUUUAAAAUCUGACCCACGGCAAGGCAAGCUUCCUAAAGAUCCGUUGGCUGAAUGCCUUUUAGUCUGCAUACAUGCAUCUCAUACCGCACAGCCCAAAUUUCUACAACUUGUCCAGGUGCAGUCUCCUCAGAACUACAAAGCAAGAAAAGAUCACCUUUGGGCUCAGGAACUCACAGUCGUUCUCCCUCUCCCGGAAGGCACAAUGACCAGGACAGUACCGAGCUUUGCAGCCAUAUUGAACUCACCAUCAACUCAGCACAUUCAACUCAAUCAGUCAAAAUCGCCUUUUCCUGCUGGUAAAUAACACUGAAAUUGUGGGAAGAUGGGAUGGUAAGAACAAAGUCUGUCUCUGGAAGCACGGGUGCUGUCUCUGAAGACAAAUUGAUCGUAACACAAGCAGACCCGGUGGAACGACCUCCAUGCUGAACCCUCAGCUCCCCCUGCAUUUGGACCAUGGCCUGAUGGAAGAUAAAGAGACUGAUCUCAGAGUGGUACAGAUCUACAACCACGUGAAGAAUUGGAUUUAUAUUCAUCUGACUCCAGAAAGUUCCUGAGAUUCCUCUGCUUCAUCAUCUUUCCCAUGCCCUUUAAAACACGUUAUCAAAUAGCAACAGGUGGUGCAAUAACUAGACAAAUGAUUCUCAGCCUUUUUCUUUGCCAUUAGCACUCCUGGAAGGAGACGUGUUGGACACGUUUUCCUUGUCACCACCCCAUGAACCUUCCAUACCACAGGUAUACUGUGUAUUCGGUUAUGUAUCAUCUGUACACCUGUUUCUAAAACACAGAAACAGUAAGAGCCCCCCAUCCAAGAAUCCAUUUUAAUCCUCUUGGGUGUGAUGUCACCCCCCAAAAAUGCAUAUGCUCUGGAGUCAGUCACAAACACAUUACGAAUGCAUGAUCACUUAAGAAUGUUACCAAAGUUUAUAAAUUUGAGAUGAUAAUUCUAUGUUAUUUAGUUCAUUUUAGAGAUAAGUAAGAACCAGAGAUUCCAGAGAGGUAGACCAAGCUGACAGAGCAAGGAAAGGCAGAGCCAGACAUGCAGCUGAAGCAUCUGAAUUCCCACUCUAGUGCUCCAGCUUAACCUGGAUGAUCAGUAAAUGGUUGCUUUUCAAUGUGCUCUCAACACUUCCCACGCUGCCUCCUUCAUUGAUAAAGGAAUGGUAUUUUGGGAGAAACCAGAAUCUGCCCUGGGGCAAUAGAAAGGCAGCAAAGCAACCUGCAUUCAAGUCUUUGGGGGAUUUUUUGGAAAGCAGAGUGUAUUAGUCUGCUAUUGCUGCUGUAACAAAUUACCAUGUAUUUAGUGGCUUAAAACAACACACAUUUGUUGUCUUAAAGUUCUGGAGGUCAGAGCCCAAAAUGGGUCUCAUGGAGCUCAAAUCAAGAUGUCAGAAGGGCUGUGUUCCUUUGGAAGGCCCUUGGGGAGAAUCUGUUCCAUGCCUUCUCCAGUUCCUGGAAGUCACCUGCUUGCUUUGGCUGUGGGGCACUUCCAGCAACUGCAUCACUCUAACCUCUGCAACCAUAGCACGUCUCCCUUUUCUGACUCUCACCCUCUUCUUUCUUUCCCUUAUAAGGACGAUUGUAGUCCAGGAUAAUCUCCCCAUUUCAAAAUCCUUUACUUAAUCACAUCUGCAAAGUCCGUCUUGGCCUAUAAGGUGACAUACUUGCAGAUUCCAGAAAUUAGAAUUUGGACGUCUUUGGGUGGCUGUUAUUAUGCCUGCCACACAGACCAAUGCAUACACAAUGUGACCAAUCCAUCAUGAUUUGUCUGAGACUAUAUUGGCUUUAAAGCUGAAAGUUCUGCAUCCCAGGAAUCGCCUCAGUCCCAGGCAAUUCAGGACAAUUCGUUGUCACCCUAUGUGCACCUCCUAUGUGCUCCUUCAACUUAGAGAGUUGGUGUUUUCUCUCCUCUUCAAAGGUCUAACUCCUUUUCACCUAAAGAGUACACAGAGGCUGGGUGUAGUGGCUUAGGCCUGUAAUCUCAGUGCAUUUGGGACACUGAGGCAGGAGGUUCACUUGAGCCCAGGAGUUUGAGACCAUUCAGGGCAACAUAGUGAGAUCCUUUCUCUACAAAUUUUUUAAAAGAUUAGUUGGGCAUGGUGGCACAUGCCUGUAGUCCCAGCUACUUGGCAGGCUAAGGAGGAAGGAUCCCCUGAGCCCGGGAUUCAAGGCUGCAGUGAGCUAUGAUAGUGCCACUGUACUGCAGCUGAGGCAACAAAACGAGGCCCUGUCUCUAAAAAUAAAAAAAAGAAAAAAAGGCUGCACAGAAUAGACUGAUGGACUGAAGGCUCUGCCCUUAUCAAAUAUUUACUAAGUAAUAAUUAUAAGUUUGCCUCCUACACUGGGUGACUUCUCAAAUUCCAGGUUGAGGUCAUAUUCAUUUCUGCUGUCAUAGGGUAUUGUUGGGUCCCUGGUGCUUAUAUGUGAUUUGGGAAAUGCUUGCCGAUGUGAAUUGAAGAGAAGGAUAGACAAAUGCUUGGUUGGGAGGAUGGCAGGAGAUGGUAAUGGGUAGAUGGGUGGAUGGAUGAAAAUAUGAAUGGAUGGCUAAGAACGAUCAGUAAGCUGGGAGAGCAUCUCAGAUCCCAACAGCAUCUAGGCACAAAGCAAUUUAUAUUUAAUUUGCACCAUUGUAUGUCACCCCAGAUGGGGAGAAAGACAAGGAAAUGAAAAGAGAGAAGAGAAGGAAGGAAGGAAAAGAGAAGGGAUGGGAAGAAAUGGAAGAGAAGAGAAAAGAAGGCAAAAGAGAAGAAAGACAAAAGACAACCAAUGAGAUAAAUAGAGAAAAAUAAAGACUAGAAAAGGAAGAGGGGAAAGGAGAGGAGAGGAAAGGAAGGAAAACUCAUGGGUGGUCCCCAGCUUAGACCACAUGCCCACAACCAGCUCUGGAUCCCAGAGUUGGGACUAUGCUGGAAUUCCAGAGGAAGAGGCAUGCAAGCCAAGCACAGGCCAUUCCAUCAGUUCUUCUAAAUUAUUUCUCCAGUCCAGGCCCGCAUCAGGGAGAGCAUGUCUGUCGUGCAUUUUAAUCUCAGAGUUCUGGGCUGGUAUUUGUCAGCCCCAGAGGAAAAACCACUUUUUUUUUUUGCCCUUCUCACAUGCUGGGCAGGCGUGUUACAUUUUUUUUGGCUGUGAAGGCACUAAGUGUUUCUUGGCAGCAUGUACGUCUGGAACUCAGCCUCUUCCCAAGUCAGAACGACCAGAGAUUCAAGAUCAAUGGGUGUAGCUUUCAGGUGGGUUCCCUCUCCAGUGCCAUCUUGGGGAAAGGCAGGAGGACUUUUGAUUUUCCACUUUUCCAGCUGAGACUCAGCUCUCUUUCCCGAAUGCGCAUACGUGAAUACCUCGUCUAUUUCCAUGAGCUUUCUCUUUUCAUUAUCGCUUCACCACCAAUGGAGAAAGAUCAGUAGAAUAUAAUGUUGAAGACUCAGAGUCCUUGGAACUCUUUGGCAUUGACAAAUCGUGUUACAACAACCUCCUUUGCGUCUUAAACAGCCUGGCAUUCUCACAUUCAGCUUGGCAGCCUCAUCAAUAUUCUGGAGAGAUCUGAGCUCAAGGCCAUCAAAUAUGACACUUUGGUUGUUUAGUCGGGAGUGAAUCUACUGACUGUGGCCUUAGUGACACCAAGGCUGGCAUGUUGUGUUUUCUCUCAAUUCAUGGGCUUUUCUGAUGUGUCUCUCAAAUCCAGCCCUGGUGAGGGGAAGAAAAAUCACCCAGACCCAGCUCUGUUCCGUAGGAGCUGCAUGAUUUUGAGAGAGUCUCUUCCCCUUUCUGAGCCUCAGUUUCUCCACUGGCAUGGUAAGGUGCAGUUUGGACCAGGUAGUUUCUAAAGUCUGUUACAUUCCGGCAUGCCCAACUUCGUUUAGGAUUGCUCUGAAUGAAUGAGUGUCCAGCCAUGGUCAGGCCGAUAGCUAGGGUCAGAAAAUACAGUUUGCCACAUAUGCAGUCAAGCGUUGAUAUAAAUUGUCUGCCUGAAUCCUGGCUUUGGUUGUUUGUGGAUCAAACCAUGCCCCGUGUGUGCACAGUAAUGAUUGGUUAUGGCGACCAUAUGUCCUGGGUUUCCUCGGACAGCCUUGAUUUCAAAAUUCUGUCCCAUCGUCAAACCUUGUGUCAGAUCAUGUAUCUCGAUUUUUGAUUCAGAAAAUAUGGUCACCAUAUGGCAAAUGCAUCUCCACCACUGUGACAUAGACGACUUGUCUUCAUCCUCCUGCAAAGCUCUGUCUUAUUCUCCCAGGCAGACAAGGAUGCAUCUCCUCUCUGUGCCCACUCCUGUCACCACAAAACCUUCAAUCUAUCACUUCCAUGUCUGUGUCCUGUGCUGGACACCAGGCUCCCUAAGGGCAGGAAGAACAUUUGGUUCAUCUUCAUAUUCUUAGCACCAGCUCUGAAUAAACUAAAAGCAAUGAGUCUGUCACAUUAUACAGUAGAAAUCUUCCUGAAAAGAUGGGGGCGUACAUUUUUAAAUUAUAAUCUCUUCUAAAUAGAACCAGGAAACUUAGUACUCAAGGAAGAAAUCAUACAUUUAUUUUUUUCUUUCCUUUCCUUUCCUUUUCUUUCUUUUCUCCAAAUAAUUAUUUCAGAUCUUCUAAAAGAUCUGGACUUGCAUAUGCCAUUUGCUAGGGGGGAGUAAAUCUUGGAAGCAGAUUCUCCUGGCUGUAUAGGAUUCAGUCCACUCAUGGCCAACAAACUGAGACAUCAGAAGAGAGAAUUCACCAUUUUAAAUCUGCAGUCAGCUGAGACUCAGUCCUGCAAUUAUAUAAUUUCUUGUGAAUUUGUUUCAUGAACUAAAGAAGGCAAAGGCUUUUUCAGGGUUACGAGGGGGAUAAAGUCCAUCUUACGGCCCUUGGAGGAAAAUCUUAGUCACCUUUCUUAUAGUUCCUUUUUCUUGGCUGCUUUUAGUGCUAGCCCCUUUCUUUGAGUACUUUAUCCUUCCUGAACUCUCUAGACAUACGUGUCUCCAAGCUCCUCUCUAACCCAGAUUUCACUCUGGCAGCCAUGCUAAACUUUGAUCCAAUGUUGUCCAUAACUUCUACUUAUUUCCAGAGUAAUAAUAAUACUUCACAGCAUACCACUCAAGAGCGCUUAUGGUUUGACCACCAUCUAUUAUUUUACACCUUAGAUCCUCAAAAGACCCAUACACCAACACCUUUUAUCCCAGAAAAAUCAAGAAAUCCAGUCAUUUUUACUAUUGCCAAUCCCAGAAAAUAGCCCAACUCACUCUCAUAGCUCUGAGUCUUUGCACAAACUCUUUCUUUUCUCUGGGACGAGUUCCUGCCUUCAGGUACCUUGGCACACCCUAGCUGUCUUUCAAAAUCUUUUUUGAUUAUCCCUUUUAUUGUGAAGGCUUCUCUCAUUCAGUAAAUACAGAUGAUGAUGAUGAUGAUAGUAAUAACAACAAUAAUAGUGAUGAUAAUGACAAAACUCACAUGUGUUCAGCAGGAAUUAUGUGCUGGGCUGGGAGCUAAGUGCUUUUCAGACUUUACCUGAUCUUACAUUUUAUAGCAGAAAAGAAAAUUCAAACCCAGAAAUAUUUGCAUAGCCAAACUAAGUCCAAGGACACAUAGUUAAAAUAGGGCAGAGCUGAGGUUGGGACCCAUUUUCUGUCUGACCUCAAAGUCAGUGUUCAUAACUACUACAUCCCACUUAGGCUCAGUCAGGUUCUAGUUUGGACCACUUCAUACCCACAGAAGGUGCCUCUUGCUUGAUCAUCCUCAUGUUGACCAGCCAGCCUCAAGGAUCUCGAGGACAGAGGCUCUGCCCUAUAAAUCUAUUCUUCAUUAGUCCUUCCUAUGGUCCCUGACACACGGUAAACAUGCAAUAGAGUUGGCUAAAGAAAUGGACACAAAACCACUCUUCCAUCUUGCUUCAUUUUUGCCGAGAGGAACAUCUCAAGGUGAAUAUAUAGACACCUUCCACUAGAUCUGUACAUAUAUUCAAGCUCACACUUCAAAAGGGCCACCAUAAUCAGCAAGCAGCAAAUAUAUCCUAGGCUGCUUCUAGCUGGAGCAUAAACAGAACCCACCGAGGCUCUUCACUGGCAUAGCAACUCUGUGCUCCCUAGAGCCUAAAGCUGAUGAAGAAGUCUGCAAACCUUACCUUUCCAAAGAGCCAAUGCCUAGAGGAUGACAAUAUUAAGUCUGAAUUCAACGAAAACUAACAAAGAAACAAACAACCCCAAAAAGUAAACACAAAAGAAAUAAAAACACUUUGGGAGGCCUAGGCAGGCAAAUUGCCUGAGCUCAGGAAUUCGCGACCAGCCUGGGCAACACAGUGAAACCUCAUCUCUACUAAAAUACAAAAAAUUAGCUGGGCGUGGCAGCACGUGCCUGUAGUCCCAGCUAUUCAGGAGGCAGAGGCAGGAGAAUUGCUUGAACCCGGGAGGCAGAGGUUGCAGUGAGCCGAGAUCACACCACUGCACUCCAGCCUGGGCAACAGAGCAAGACUCUGUCUCAAAAAAAAGAAGAAAGAAGGAAAGGAAGGAAGGAAGGAAGGAAGGAAGGAAGGAAGGAAGGAAGGAAGGAAGGAAGAAAGAGAAAGAAAGAAAAAGAAAGAAAGAAAGAAAGAAAGAAAGAAAGAAAGAAAGAAAGAAAGAAAGAAAGAAAGAGA